UGAAUCAGUUAGAGUGGCGGAUUCCUCUGUAUGGACCCUUUGGAGAGGAGGUUUCGAGAGUGCUAGGCGGUGGUCUUGUGCCAGGUUCCUUAAUUUUGGUGGGAGGUGAUCCUGGUGUUGGCAAGAGUACCCUGUUGCUGCAG